CAACUACUCCCUCUGUCCCAAAUUUCUUGUCUUAGAUUUGUCUAGAUACGGAUGUAUCUAAUACUAAAAUGUGACUUGAUACAUCAGUAUCUAGACAAAUCUAAGACAAGAAUUUUGGGACGGAGGGAGUACUUU
rfam:Triticum aestivum genome assembly, contig: Triticum_aestivum_CS42_TGACv1_scaffold_082930_1DS